GACGAACGCUGGCGGCGCGCUUAACACAUGCAAGUCGAGCGAAGCGGCGGACGGGUGAGUAACACGUGAGUAACCUGCCUUAGACAUUGGGAUAGCCUCGGGAAACCGGGAUUAAUACCAAAUGGUCUAAGAUGGACUCGCGUCCCAUUAGCUAGUUGGUGGGUAACGGCCCACCCAGGCGACGAUGGGUAGCCGGCGUGAGAGGGUGAACGUCCACAUUGGAACUGAGAAACGGACCAAACUCUACGGGAGGCGGCAGUGGGGAAUAUUGCACAAUGGAGGGAGUGCUGAUGCAGCGACGGCGCGUGAAAGAAGAGGGCUUUCGAGACGUAAAGUUCUUUUAUAUGGGAAGCGGUACACUAAGAAAGAGACCCGGCUAACUACGUGCCAGCAGCCGCGGUAAUUCCU
rnacentral:rRNA from 1 species